rnacentral:rRNA from 1 species
UACGGGGGGGGUAAGCGUUGUUCGGAAUUACUGGGCGUAAAGGGCUCGUAGGCGGCCAACUAAGUCAGACGUGAAAUCCCUCAGCUUAACUGGGGAACUGCGUCUGAUACUGGAUGGCUUGGAUUCGGGAGAGGAAUGCGGAAUGCCGGGUGUAGUGGUGAAAUGCGUAGAGAUCCGGCGGAACACCGGUGGUGGAGGCGGCACCCUGGGCCGAGGCCGACGCUGAGGCGCGAGAGCGUGGGGAGCGAACCGG